ACAGCGAGAAAUUUCAAAAUAUCGAUUAUUACUUCCUUGUCGAUCAGGCUUCUUAUAGUUCGAAUGCUUUCAGCAGCAGCGUUUUUAUUUAAGACUGUCUUUAUAUUACAUUACACGAUUAUUUGUUCGCUAAUAUCUACACACGAUGUGUCGUGUAUCAACGUUUACCGAGGACGGAAUGAAAAGGUUAUUAGAAUCUAACAUAUCCUAGAAUUGGUAAGAUUUAUGAAUGACUUGUGGAAUUGCCAUAGACUUUCUUCACAUAUGGAUUAUAUCUUAGCAACAAGGAGAAUUGGUAAUAUUUACCUAUGACUUGUGGAUUUGCUGUAAUCUUUCUUCACGCAUGGAUUAUUGUCUUUGAAACUAGGAGGUGCAAACAGAAUGAACUGUGGAUAACCUCUCACCUCAGUGAUAUUUACCACAUUGGAAUUACUUCAAGAAAAAAGAAGUUUAUACAAUAAUUUUCUUCUUUUUAAAAAAAAAUUCAAAAAUAUCAUAUCAGGAAUGAGCUGACAG